rnacentral:rRNA from 1 species
UUCCGGUUGAUCCUGCCGGAGGUUACUGCUAUCGGUGUUCGACUAAGCCAUGCAAGUCAUAUGUUCCUCGUGAACAUGGCAUACUGCUCAGUAACACGUGGAUAACCUGCCCUUGGGUCUGGGAUAACCCCGGGAAACCGGGGAUAAUACCGGAUGACGCAUAUGUGCUGGAAUGCUUUAUGCGUAAAACGGAUUCGUCCGCCCAAGGAUGGGUCUGCGGCCUAUCAGGUAGUAGUGGGUGUAAUGUACCUACUAGCCAACAACGGGUACGGGUUGUGAGAGCAAGAGCCCGGAGAUGGAUUCUGAGACAUGAAUCCAGGCCCUACGGGGCGCAGCAGGCGCGAAAACUUUACAAUGCGGGAAACCGUGAUAAGGGAACACCGAGUGCCAGCAUCAUAUGCUGGCUGUCCAGAUGUGUAAACUACAUCUGUUAGCAAGGGCCGGGCAAGACCGGUGCCAGCCGCCGCGGUAACACCGGCGGCCCGAGUGGUGACCGUUAUUAUUGGGUCUAAAGGGUCCGUAGCCGGUUUGGUCAGUCCUCCAGGAAAUCUGAUAGCUUAACUGUUAGGCUUUCGGGGGA